GAUGAACGCUGGCGGCGUGCCUAAUACAUGCAAGUCGAGCGAACAGACGAGGAGCUUGCUCCUCUGACGUUAGCGGCGGACGGGUGAGUAACACGUGGAUAACCUACCUAUAAGACUGGGAUAACUUCGGGAAACCGGAGCUAAUACCGGAUAAUAUAUUGAACCGCAUGGUUCAAUAGUGAAAGACGGUUUUGCUGUCACUUAUAGAUGGAUCCGCGCCGCAUUAGCUAGUUGGUAAGGUAACGGCUUACCAAGGCAACGAUGCGUAGCCGACCUGAGAGGGUGAGCGGCCACACUGGACCUGAGACACGGACCAGACUCCUACGGGAGGCAGCAGUAGGGAAUCUUCCGCAAUGGGCGAAAGCCUGACGGAGCAACGCCGCGUGAGUGAUGAAGGUCUUCGGAUCGUAAAACUCUGUUAUUAGGGAAGAACAAAUGUGUAAGUAACUAUGCACGUCUUGACGGUACCUAAUCAGAAAGCCACGGCUAACUACGUG
rnacentral:rRNA from 1 species